CACGGGGCGUCCCCGAGCUACAUCCCGUGGGGCUCCAGUCUGUGCGUGUAGCACCAUGGGAUUCAGCUCAGGGCGGCCGCGAC
rnacentral:pre_miRNA from 1 species